UACGAAGGGGGCUAGCGUUGCUCGGAAUUACUGGGCGUAAAGCGCACGUAGGCGGCUUUCUAAGUCGGGGGUGAAAUCCUGGAGCUCAACUCCAGAACUGCCUUCGAUACUGCGGGUCUCGAGUCCGGGAGAGGUGAGUGGAAUUCCUAGUGUAGAGGUGAAAUUCGUAGAUAUUAGGAAGAACACCAGUGGCGAAGGCGGCUCACUGGCCCGGUACUGACGCUGAGGCGCGAAAGCGUGGGGAGCAAACAGG
rnacentral:rRNA from 1 species